GCAGUUGUAGUCAUUGGCAGUGAGGAGCAUCGGUAAUGGCUGGCUGCUGCUGCCCUCGACACUGAUGUUCAGGUGGAUAUGCAAGUAUAAUAAUGUACUGCACCCGCGAGGAAUAUACUGGCCGUCUCAAUGUUUGGUAGCAGUCCAGGGCGGCUGUUGUUUCAGUUGGUAGUAGGGGUGCUGUCAGCAGUAUAUAUAGUGCUGAUUUUCUAUUUUAAGAUCUUCAUGUGAAUCUUGUUGCUGGUGAAGUGGUGAUUAUAUAUACUUCUGAUUUUCUUUUU